GCGCCGGUGGCGGAAUUGGUAGACGCGCCAGCUUGAGGGGCUGGUGGGCUUUUGCUCGUGGAGGUUCGAGUCCUCUCCGGCGCA
rnacentral:tRNA from 3 species